GUCCUCCUCUUCCUCUUCCUCCUCCUCUUCCUCCUCUGCAUGACAGACAAACGGUUGAAACCUAGAGACUGAUCUUCUGCUGCCAGAUCAGAGUCAGGAGAUGUUUCAGU
rnacentral:miRNA from 1 species